CAAAGCGUAGUAUAACCAAAACAUUUCGCUUACACCGAAAAAAUGUUUGUGCAAAUCAAACCGCCUUGA
rnacentral:tRNA from 1 species